GGGUCAGUAGGUCGGUCGUGCCACCGGUACGUACUGGUCUCACUGAUUCCUCCUUCCUGAAUAACCGUAAUGCCAUUAAUUUGGUGUUGCGGGGAAACAGGACUGUUACUUUGAAAAAAUUAGAGUGUUUAAAGCAAGCUAACGCUUGAAUACAUUAGCAUGGAAUAAUGAAAUAGGACGAUCGAUCCUAUUUUGUUGGUUUCUAGGAUUGACGUA
rnacentral:rRNA from 1 species